GCUCCAAUAGCGUAUAUUAAGUUGUUGCGGUUAAAAAGCUCGUAGUUGGAUUCUGCUGAGGACGACCGGUCCGCCUCUGGGUGAGCAUCUGGCUCGCCUUGGCAUCUUCUUGGAGAACGUAUCUGCACUUCAUUGUGUGGUGCGGUAACCAGGACUUUACUUGAGGAAUUAGAGUGUUUCAAGCAGGCGUGCGCCUUGAA
rnacentral:rRNA from 1 species